GUCAAUGUGGUGUAGUGGUUUGAUCACUGGACUUUGACUCUGGAGAUCAGGGUUCAAUUCCUUGGUUAGCCA